rnacentral:lncRNA from 1 species
GUAUCUGUGUUUAUCUGUGGUGAUCCCUGUUUUUUGUCUGUUGGGUGCUGGUGGGAGCACAACUGGGCCAUCGAGCCCUGCGGAUGAACCUUGACCUGUUCUGGGAUGUGCUCUUGGAUCAGGAACCCCACUCUGGCCACGAGGCUUUGCAUCACUGGAUGUGAUCCCUCUGGAGGUGCUGCCAGACCAUUGAGUGCUCCAUCCCUGCCCUCCAGACACCCUCUUCCUGGAGGAAAGUCGGCAGCUUUGGGUUUAUUCCAUCUUUUCAGCCAUGCCAAAGCCUAUUUAAUACCAGCCCUGAAGCACUGAAGGCUGCAGCCAGACACGAAGCUCAUCCCUGAGGAUGAGGAGGGAGCUUGGAGCAGGCAGUGCAGCAAAGAGAUGCAUCAGCACCUGCUCCCAGCUGCAGGAGAAGGAAGGAGUGCUGGGAGCUCCCUCCCCACAAGUGCAGAGGAUGUGCCUCCUCCAUGCCAUCUUUGGAGUCCCAGGUGCUGUUGGAGCUCCUCCACGACCUCAGCCCUGCAUCCAUGGGGGACAUGGAGAGGAAACCUCAGCCAGGGCUGGAUGUGCCUGGGCCAUUUCCCUUCUGGAGAAAAGAGAGCCUCCAAAAUCUAUAAAUCAACCAUCUCUGAAAUGGUGUGGGAUUAAGGAAAAGGUGCAGAAUAGAAAUUAUUUCCUCGGGAGAAAGCAGCAGAUAAUUUCAUCUGCCUGGGAAAAUGAUGUCUCCAUCAGUUGUCUUCAGGAGACUCCAAAAAGAGUUAAAGGGGGGCUCAGAGUGUGCAGUUAUUGUGGAAUUUUGGAAUCCCACACUGGUUUAGGUGGCAAGGGACCUCAAAGCCCGUCCCAUUCCACCUGGGUUGCUCCAAGCUCUCUCCAACCUGGCCAGGGAUCCAGGGGCAUCAAUGACCAAGUUGGCUUCUCUGGGGUGGAAAAAAGGUCCCAGCUCUGCACUGCCAUGAAGGGAUCUUUUAUUUAUCAACAGAGCCACGGGAUGUGAAUUUCUCCAACGCCUUCACUGAGCUGUCACACAGAAACUGAGCUGCUAUUAAGCAGCUUUGGGCUGCAGCCAGUUCAUUAGAGCAAACUUUCAUCCAAUUAUCAUUACUCUUAUUAUUAUUUUUAUUAUGAUGCCUCCUGCUCUGUUGUAAAUUGGAGAGUUUUCCUGGGGUUCUUGUUGGACUUUUUUGAGUUGUCUCAAAACUGGAUGGCAAAUUUCCUUCCUUCCUUCCUUCCUUCCUUCCUUCCUUCCUUCCUUCCNCGCCACUUCCUUCCUUCCUUCCUUCCUUCCUUCCGCCACUUCCUUCCUUCCUUCCUUCCUUCCUUCCUUCCUUCCGCCACUUCCUUCCUUCCGCCCCUUCCUUCCUUCCUUCCGCCACUUCCUUCCUUCCUUCCUUCCUUCCUUCCGCCCCUUCCUUCCUUCCUUCCUUCCUUCCUUCCGCCACUUCCUUCCUUCCUUCCGCCACUUCCUUCCUCCCUCCCUCCCUCCCUCCCUGUUUUUUUCCAUGCCUGACUUCACUCCCAGCCCCGAUGAUUUUUCCUGUGAAACCCCAAAACUCUCAAUUUGAAGAGCGGGAGAGGGGAAGGCGCAGCCUUCCAGCAGAGCUGCAACGAGCUAGCGCUAAAUCGAGCUCUAAUUGCUCAUUUAAACUAAUUAAUUUACCAAACCCGAAGAAUUUUGAACGGAUGCUUGGGAGCCUCGCCCUCCCUUCUCCCGGGCACAGGGCGCGGGGAGCCCCACGACCGCUUUUGGUGGAGCCUCCCCCGAGGUGCUGAUGGCAAUUCCCCGGGCUGGGAGCAUCCCUUUCCCCCCAGCUGGUGGGAAAACCAGCGCAGGAGGGAGUAAACAUCCCGGAUGCUGACACGGCAAUAAAACCGGUGUGUCUGCAGCA